GUUUGUCAAAAGUCCUCUCCAUGAACAUCCUUGACGAUGAAACACAUUGUAGGAGCAUGGGAUCAACAUGGUCACUGUGCAUGAGAAGCCGUAAAAGUGGUCAUGGCCAAAGACGUGAGUAGAGUUCAUUACGAUGCAAUUGACAAGAAAAUGUGUUUAUUCCUCUGACACCCAACACAAACACAUUUUAAAGGCAAGUAGAGAAAGUUACCUAGUUAUAAGCAACAUGUAGGUCUUCUGAAAUGUUAUAAAUAAUUUGUUUUCAAUGAAUGACAUUUCUGAUGAACAUAGGAAAUAUUUUGGCAAAACAGAGUGCUUGUAUUCUAGGCAGAUAAGGUUAAAAGUGAAUAAGCCUUUGUUUACCGUUUUUAAUAAGAGCAGACCAAUAGUUCAAGAAAAUUUUCACCUUUUAACCCAGAGAAAACACAAUUUUAAUUUUUCAUACAUGUAUUUUGAUAUGAAACACCACUUCUUCACUGAAUAUUUUAAAAAUUUGAACCAGUACUGACCACACUUAAAAUUCCUUUCCAGGUUUCUUUUCCAAAAUCCUCCUACAGCUUUCUCUUAUACAUUUAGAUCUCGAUCUAAGGAUUCUUUGAAUAACCAGACUCAUGUUAGGACAAAAUUAUUUUUCUUUUCCUUCAACACAAAAUGUAUUCCCAUUCUUCAUACCUUUCCCCCCCAAAAAAACACAUGUCUUACUUUCCUGGAGCACAUAGUUGUUUUCCUUAUUAUUUUUAGUCGUCUAAAUUAUAUCUAUUAGAAUUCCUAACUCUAGAAACCUUAGUUUUCUGGUGAAAAUUAAAUAGGAAGUAAAUGUGAACUAUUUGCUAUGCUAGUAUUCCUUAGAAUAGCAACUUUAUGACUACAUUUCACAAUUUCCAGAAACAUAAUAAAAUAUUUGAGUAAAGAACAACCCGUGUUUACUAAUGGACCCGUAUUUAUCUUCAUAGUUUUUCUGUACUAAGACAAAAGUAGAUAAACAGAUGUUUAAUAUGAAUGUUUUAUUAUUUUACCUUAUUUAACUUGUAAAACAAAUAAAGAACUACAAUUGUUAGGAAGCCAUACUCUCCGUAGCAAUUGGUAGAUUACAUGCAAUCCCUAUCAAAUGUCCAAAUGUCUAUUUUCACUGUAAGAAAAGAUGACCUUAAAAUUUCUGUGGAUUUGCAGGGACUCAGAACAUCCAAAAAAUCCUGAAGAAGAACACAUUUUCAGGACUGACAAUUCUAGAUUUCAAAACUCACUGGGGCACCUGGUCGGCUCAGUUGUUUGGGCGUCCGACUUCUGUUCAGGUCAUGUUCUCACAACUGGUAAGGACGGUCCUCGGUGAUCCAAAGCAGCCUCUAAGCCUAUGUCCACACGUUUGGAUCAGCUUCCAAGCAGCUUCGCCUCCAUCCCUGCCCCAUCACCCAUGAGUGCGGGUGUUUGCAAGUUCUUUCUGCCAGCCCGUGCUGGCUCAGACACCCUCCUUGUCCGCAUCUCUGAAGAAUCUAAUAGACUCAUUUUCACCC